UUCGCAAUGCCCGAAAGGGUGACGAGGCGACGCCGCGUGCGGGAAGAAGGCCUUCGGGUUGUAAACCGCUGUCGGGAGUUAAGAAAUGCAAGGGUGUUAAUAGUAUCCUUGCUAGACUAAGGCUCCGGAGGAAGCCACGGCUAACUCUGUGCCAGCAGCCGCGGUAAUACAGAGGCGGCAAGCGUUGUUCGGAAUUAUUGGGCGUAAAGAGCACGUAGGCGGCUGUGUAAGUCGGUUGUGAAAGCCUUCCGCUCAACGGGAGAACGGCAUCCGAUACUGCAUGGCUUGAGUGCGGGAGGGGAGAGUGGAACUUCUGGUGGAGCGGUGAAAUGCGUAGAUAUCAGAAGGAACACCGGCGGCGAAGGCGACUCUCUGGCCCGUAACUGACGCUGAGUGUGCGAAAGCUAGGGGAGCAAACGGGAUUAGAUACCCCGGUAGUCCUAGCCGUAAACGAUGGGCACUAAGUAGAGGGGUUUU
rnacentral:rRNA from 1 species